rnacentral:lncRNA from 1 species
CUCCUCUUAUUUUAACUCAACAUGCCAAACUGUGCUCGAUGCUGUGGCUCCACUAAAAACAAGGCCUUCCAAACCCAGACCUAAGCCGUGGAUAAAUGACUCUACACGUGCUGCCAGACGCGAGUGCAGGAGAGCAGAGCGAAAGUGGAAGAAGGACAAGCUACAGGUGUCUUUCCAGAUGUUGAGGGACAGCUGGCGUUUUUAUCAGAGAACUGUUAAGGCUGCAAAAACCAAAUAUCUUUCUGAUAUUAUUUUAUCUAAUUGUCACGAUCCUCAUGUUUUGUUUAAAACUGUAAAUUCUGUUCUUAAUGCUCCACAGUCAUUUUGCUUGGAGAAUUCCACUGAAGUAUGUGAGAACUUCCUGAGCUUUUUUAUCGACAAGGUUGUGAGCACUAGGGCCCUGAUUACUCUCCCUUCUUAUGAUCCUUCCAUCUCUGUCACAUGCUCGGCUGUGUUCAACCAGUUUGAGCAUGUCAGCCUGCCCUUUCUGAGAGACAUAAUGGAUCAUAUGAAACCUGCUGGGUCUCCCUGUGAUCCAGUCCCCCCUCGUCUUUUUAAAGAGGUCUGCUCUACUCUGGCACCACACUUGCUUAACAUCAUAAACAGCAGUUUGUCAAGUGGGAGUGUACCUGUGAGUUUUAAGCAUGCGGUGGUGACACCACUGGUUAAAAAGCCUGGCUUAGAUCUUUCUGUGCUUUCUAAUUUUAGGCCAAUUUCUAAACUCCCAUUUCUUUCUAAAAUUCUGGAGAAGAUUGUCUACUGCCAGCUAAAUUCUUUUUUAGAGGGGCACCACAUUCUUGAGAUGUUUCAGUCUGGGUUUAGAACCCGUCACAGUACGGAGUCAGCACUGUUGAGGGUUUUUAAUGAUGUUCUUUUAGCUUCAGACGCGGGUCACUGUGUUGCUCUGGUUCUGUUGGACCUAACAGCGGCCUUUGAUACAGUGGACCAUCAGAUCCUCUUGUCUCGCCUGGAGAACUGGGUGGGCAUCCAAGGUGGUGCUUUAGACUGGUUCAGGUCCUACCUAACAGGGAGAACCUUUUGUGUACAACUUGGAACAGCGGAGUCACGUGCAGCACCUCUCACAUGUG